rnacentral:rRNA from 1 species
CGCUGGCGGCGUGCUUAACACAUGCAAGUCGAACGGGAUCCAUCAAGCUUGCUUGGUGGUGAGAGUGGCGAACGGGUGAGUAAUGCGUGACCGACCUGCCCCAUGCUCCGGAAUAGCUCCUGGAAACGGGUGGUAAUGCCGGAUGUUCCACAUGAUCGCAUGUGAUUGUGGGAAAGAUUUCAUCGGCGUGGGAUGGGGUCGCGUCCUAUCAGCUUGUUGGUGAGGUAACGGCUCACCAAGGCUUCGACGGGUAGCCGGCCUGAGAGGGCGACCGGCCACAUUGGGACUGAGAUACGGCCCAGACUCCUACGGGAGGCAGCAGUGGGGAAUAUUGCACAAUGGGCGCAAGCCUGAUGCAGCGACGCCGCGUGAGGGAUGGAGGCCUUCGGGUUGUAAACCUCUUUUGUUUGGGAGCAAGCCUUC